UAACCACAUAGGACGAUACCAGCUGAAUAUCAACCCUAAACGAAGUUAAGCAAGAAUACAGAGGACUACUUGAGUAAAUUUCACUUGAGAGGCAUUGUCAAUGCUAUAGGAUGUCUCCAGGAAGAAAUAGCCCUAUUGGCUGGAGAGGAAGACUAAAGCUUAAACAGGGUUGCCGGAGAAGCCUUCUCUACUUUUGCACUCCAGGUGAAGAGGCUCUGCGAUCUGCUCCCAUGGGACAGGAGGAGCAACCUGUGGACAGCAAAGCUUUAAGUUCUUUCAAACACAAUUGUCUUGCCUCAGCUAUCAGUCUUGUCUACAAGGAAAUCUACUGGGAGAAGUGAGCGCUGAGCCCUCGGGUUGCUUGAUGUUCCAAGGCAUGCUGACUUUCUGCUGCGAUUUGUCAUCCUCGGACACAGAGAGAACUCAGAAACCAGGAGAAAGGUGACAAAGAUGCAGCGGGAAUAUCAAGGCAAUUAAGGGAGAGGAUCCAUGAAAUAAUCCAUCACCUCCUCCCACCCCAAUUUGUCAAUCAAUUUCGGGGUAACUUUUUCUGAGCUCCUCUACAUUAAAGAUAAAUGGAUGAAGAUGGUCUGGGAUUGGUUAGAGACCUUAGAGGAAGCCACAGAGAUACUAGAAAAUCUAAAGCAAAAAUUCACAAAAUAAAACCUCUC
rnacentral:lncRNA from 1 species